GCAUUUGCUUUCGGACAAACGAGCAGUGGCAAGACAUUCACUAUGAAUGGUUCACCGAACGAUCCCGGAAUCAUUCUCGAGCUGUUAACGAUGUAUUUCAAAAAUACAGAUGAUUUCUGAUCGAGAGUUUCUGAUACGAGUUUCCUACAUGGAAAUUUAUAAUGAAGAAAUUAUCGACCUUUUCGCGGUAGAGAAUCAGAAAUUGCAGAUUCAUGAGAGCCUGGAGCGUGGGAUUUUUGUCGCGGGUCUCAGAGAAGAAAUUGUGAACAAUGCUGAACAAGUGAUAAAACUUCUAGAGUCAGGAGAAGGUCCUUUAAAUUGCUUAUUUU